GUACUACUGAAGAGUCUAAAACUAGGACGAAACAGCUGGCUGUCCAGUAC
rfam:Trichobilharzia regenti genome assembly, scaffold: TRE_scaffold0013869